rnacentral:rRNA from 1 species
GCUUGUCUCAAAGAUUAAGCCAUGCAUGUCUUAGUGUAAAUAACUCUUAUGAAACUGCGAAUGGCUCAUUAAAUCAGUUAUCAAAUACGUGAUGGUCGCCUACUACAUGGAUAACCGUAGUAAUUCUAGAGCUAAUACAUGCACAAAGGCCCAUUCACGUGGGUUGUGAUUAUUAGAUAAAGAACCAAUCCAUGCUUGCAUGGUUUUGUGGUGAUUCAUAAUAACUGAUCGAAUCGCAUGCCUUCGGGCGGCGAUGUAUCAUUCAAGUUUCUGACCUAUCAGCUUCCGACGGUAGGGUAUUGGCCUACCGUGGCAAUGACGGGUAACGGGGAAUUAGGGUUCGAUUCCGGAGAGGGAGCCUGAGAAACGGCUACCACAUCUAAGGAAGGC